UUUAUUAUUUUCAAUUUUUUUUUCUUUAAAAAUUCAUAGUAGGUUCAUUUUUUAUCCCAAAAAUCCCAAAAUAAUUUCUAAAAUUCUCUUUUAUUUUUCUUCAUCUGAUUUUUAUUUUUUCACAUUUUAUUUUAUUGAUUUUCUAUUUUUUAUGAAUUUUUUGUUUUCUCCUUUGUUUUAAUUGGUUAAAUAUUUUUCUGCAUUUUUAAAUUCCAAAAAAUUUAUUAAAUGUUUCUUAUCUUAUUUUCAACCUUCCAUAAUUUUCUUGGCCAUUUAUUUGGUGUUUUGAAGGACUUUAUGAAUUUUUCACUUUAUUUCUAUUUUAAAAUUCAUUUAAAAAAUACCUUUGAUGCAUUUUUUAUUUCAUUUAAUUGCAUUUUUAUUUGUGUGACCUUGUGAACUUCUGUUGGCUUGGAUCAUGAUGGUUUGAACUUCAAG
rnacentral:lncRNA from 1 species